rnacentral:rRNA from 1 species
CCUACGGGGGGCAGCAGUGGGGAAUUUUGGUCAAUGGCCGGAAGGCUGAACCAGCCAUGCCGCGUGUAGGUCAGUGCCCUAUGGGCGUUAAACUUCUUUUGUGCGGGAGCAAUAAUGGUCACGUGUGGCCAGACGAGAGUACCGUACGAAUAAGCAUCAGCUAACUCAGUUCCAGCAGCCGCAGUAAUACGGGGGAUGCAAGCGUUAUCCGGAUUUAUUGGUUUUAAAGGGUUCGUAGGCUGUGAGGAAAGUCCACAGUGAAAUGCCACCGCUCAACGGGGUGAAGUGCCAUUGAUACUGCUUGGCUGGAAUGCGGAUGCGGAGGGAGGAAUGUGUGGUGUAGCGGUGAAAUGCAUAGAUAUCACACAGAACACCGAUUGCGAAGGCAUCUCACGAAUCCGCGAUUGACGCUGAUGCACGAAAGCGUGGGUAGCAAACAGGAUUAGAUACCCGAGUAGUC